UACGUAGGGGGCAAGCGUUGUCCGGAAUUAUUGGGCGUAAAGAGCUCGUAGGCGGUUUGUCACGUCUGCUGUGAAAACUGGAGGCUCAACCUCCAGCCUGCAGUGGGUACGGGCAGACUAGAGUGCGGUAGGGGAGAUUGGAAUUCCUGGUGUAGCGGUGGAAUGCGCAGAUAUCAGGAGGAACACCGAUGGCGAAGGCAGAUCUCUGGGCCGUAACUGACGCUGAGGAGCGAAAGCAUGGGGAGCGAACAGG
rnacentral:rRNA from 1 species